rnacentral:rRNA from 1 species
UACGUAGGGUGCAAGCGUUUAAUCGGAAUUACUGGGCGUAAAGCGUGCGCAGGCGGUUAUGUAAGACAGUUGUGAAAUCCCCGGGCUCAACCUGGGAACUGCAUCUGUGACUGCAUAGCUAGAGUACGGUAGAGGGGGAUGGAAUUUCGCGUGUAGCAGUGAAAUGCGUAGAUAUGCGGAGGAACACCGAUGGCGAAGGCAAUCCCCUGGACCUGUACUGACGCUCAUGCACGAAAGGCGUGGGGAGCAAACGAGG